rnacentral:lncRNA from 1 species
AAUAAACUUAGAAAUGCAUUUUUGUUGAAUCACCUACGUGCGAAAAAUAAUAUAUAAGAAAUAAAACAUUUGAAUAAUUUGAAAUAGUAAACUAAUUUAAAACUUACAUCUUCAUCCGUUGUUGGACGUAAUUCUUGAAUUUCAUCACUUUUGUAAUAUUCAGACAAGUUUUUCUAUAAAAUAAGUAAUAAGCUAUGAGUAGAUCAAUAAACUACUAUUUAUGAACAUUAUAAAAUAAACUAAAACUUACAACGACUUCGUUGUCAGUUCCAGAAGAACGAAUCAAUACAUUGAUUCGUGAUGCCUCAAUGCCUUCGCUUUGCAGAUUUUCUCUUAUUGCACUGAAAGGAAUUGACCCUGUU